AGGCGUUCUUUGUUCACCCUUCACAUUUUUCCAUUGGCCUCCUUCAGUGAAGCUUCAAUUGAAGUUUUGCCUUCUUGCCCUUCCCGCACGUCACAUUUGGCUUUGGCCUGGCUUGUUUUAUUACCUUACCUCAUCUUCUGCAGACGUUUCUGGUGCAGUGUGGUCCAUUAUCAAUGACCAUGCCUUCAGUCCAACGAUGGAGACUAAAAGUUUGUUUUUUUGUUUUUUGUUUUUGUUGUUGUGGUCUGAGAAAAGGGGAAAACAGGAAAACAAGAAGGGAACAACACGAGGAAAGAUGGAAGGUGGAAAAGAAAUAGAAAAAGGUGUUGGAAUGGAAAAUAACAAACGAAAAAGAGUGAACUAAUUGUGAGAAAAUUAAAUAUAUUAAAAGAAAUGAAGGGAAAUGAACUUAUUCUAGUUAACUUGUCCUCAAACCAAGACUGUUCAAACCGCGGGAACAGACCAACUUCUGAACCUCCCUCACCAAAUGACUAAACCAACCCCAACAUCUUCUCUCCACACCCAUCUCUGCUUCCUUCUCUUCCUCCUCCUCCUCCUCAGCAGCCAUGCCAACUCUCAGUCAGUGCAAGACCAAGAACAAGCAGUCCUGCUAAAACUAAAGUCAUACUUGCAAUCUCCACCAUUCCUCAGCCAUUGGAUUCCACCAACAUCAAACACUUCCCACUGUUCCUGGCAGCCUGAGAUCACCUGCACAAACAACUCUGUCACCGGAUUGUCUCUGGUCAACGCGAACAUCGCCCUACCAGUUCCACCUUUCAUUUGUGAUCUCAAGAACCUCACACUCAUUGAUCUCAGCCACAACAACUUUGCUGGAGAGUUCCCAAAAGCUUUCUAUAACUGUUCAAAGCUACAGUACUUGAACCUCUCUCAAAACUCCUUUGGUGGCAAGAUUCCGAAAGAUAUCGACAGCUUGCCUGGGCUUCAAUACAUAGACCUUAGCGUUAACGACUUUUCUGGUGACAUACCGGCGGCUAUUGGGAGGUUACAAGAGCUCAGGAAUCUGCAGCUGUCUAUUAACAACUUUAAUGGUUCCGUGCCACCAGAAAUAGGUAACUUGUCCAAUCUUAAACACCUAAGUCUCUCUUACAAUACAGAACUUGUGCCAUGGAACCUGCCUUCCAAUUUCACCCAGUUGAAAAAGUUGAAGACUCUGUAUAUAAGUGAAUCGAAUCUGAUGGGAGAGCUCCCUGGAACACUGGGUAAAAUGGCAGCACUGGAAGAAUUGGAUUUGUUAGGGAACAGCCUGUCUGGGGACAUACUUCAAGUGGUUGAAGCAUCGAACUUGCAAGUUAUUGAUCUUUCUGAAAACCAUUUAACAGGCCCAAUACCAGAUGAUUAUGGAAAGCUUACCAACUUAACAUGGUUAGCUUUGUCUUAUAAUGUUCUUUCUGGUGAGGUUCCAGCAAGCAUUAGCCGUCUACCAAAUCUCAAACAGUUCAGUGUGUUCAGCAAUAAUUUGUCUGGAAUAUUGCCUCCAGACUUUGGAAGGUAUUCAGAGCUUGAAGGGUUCGAGGUUUCGGGGAAUAGGCUCACUGGAAAACUGCCAGACCAUUUGUGCUAUUGGGAUAAGCUGUCAACACUUGUAGCUUAUGAGAACAAUCUCACUGGGGAGUUGCCAAGCUCUCUUGGAAAUUGCACUAGUUUAACAGAAGUGAGGGUUCAUGAUAAUGGAUUGUCUGGGAACAUUCCUAGUGGCAUGUGGACAGCACCAAAAUUGAGUCUGGUGCUGAUGAGCAACAACUCUCUUACCGGUGAGCUUCCUGAGAAAAUGUCUCGGAAUCUUACAUGGCUGGAAAUAAGAGAGAACAGAUUUUCAGGUAACAUUCCAACCGGGGUGUCAUCCUGGAACUUGGAGGUUUUUGACGCCGGUAAUAACCUUUUUAACGGUACUAUCCCUCAGGAACUUACUGCUCUUCCUAGCUUAAUCACUCUUUCUCUUGAUCAGAAUCAGCUUACUGGCUUCCUUCCAUCAGAGAUUAUAUCAUGGAAAUCACUCGACACUCUUAAUUUCAGUCGAAAUAAACUCUCUGGACCAAUUCCAGCGGGACUUGGGUUUCUACCAGUCCUUACUGCACUGGACCUUUCAGAAAACCAACUUUCUGGCCAAAUUCCAGCUCAACUUGGGCAUCUGACGCUCAGCAACUUCAAUCUCUCUUCCAAUCACCUAUCUGGGAAGAUCCCAAUUGAAUUUGAAAAUCCUGCUUAUGACGUAAGCUUCUUGGACAAUCAAGGUCUCUGUGCGACUAACCCCUCAGCAAAACUCAGCAUAUGUAAUUCUCAACCUCUAAAGUCCAGCAAAAUUUCGUCUACAUAUCGUGCAUUGAUCUUAACUUUCGGCAUACUUUUGUCCUUGUGGGCUUUGUCCUUAUCAUUCUUCAUGGUCAAAGCUUAUUGGAAGAGAAACAGAUCGGAUUCUGAUUGGAAGCUCACCGCAUUUCAGAGGUUGAAUUUCAGAGUGUCAAAAAUUCUCAGGAUUGACAGAAAGUAAUAUGAUUGGAAGCGGCGACUCAGGAAAAGUUUAUUGUGUUCCUGUCAAUCGUACAGGCGAUGUUGUUGCCGUGAAAAAGAUUUGGAAAGAUAAGAAGUUAGAAGAGAAGCUUGAAAAAGAAUUUCUUGCAGAAGUCAAGAUAUUGAGUUCCAUACGACAUGCCAACAUAGUGAAGCUGAUGUGCUGUAUAUCCAAGGACAAUUCAAAACUUCUUGUCUAUGAGUACUCAGAGAAUCGAAGCCUGGAUCAAUGGCUUCACAAGAGAAACAGGCCAUCCAAUCUCACGAGUUCAGUCCACCAUGUUGUGCUGGACUGGCCUAAGAGGUUGCAGAUUGCAGUGGGAGCUGCUCGGGGCCUCUGCUACAUGCAUCACGACUGUGUGCCACCCGUUGUGCAUCGAGACAUGAAAUCGAGUAACAUUUUGUUGGACUCUGAUUUUAAUGCAAAAAUAGCUGAUUUUGGUCUAGCCAAGAUCUUGGUCAAGCACGGAGAACUUGUUACACUGUCAGCUGUUGCUGGCUCCUUCGGCUACAUUGCCCCAGAAUAUGCUCACACAACACGAGUGAACGAGAAGAUUGAUGUAUAUAGUUAUGGGGUCAUCCUUCUGGAGUUGACCACUGGAAGGGAAGCUAAUGAUGGCGACGAACACACUUCUCUUGCUGAAUGGGCGCGGCACCACUUUCAAGAAAACUACCCACUUGUCGAUGCUCUGGACCAGGACAUCAAAGAACCUUGUUACUUGGAUGAAAUGUGCUCCGUUUUCAAACUUGGCAUCUAUUGCACCGAGACACUUCCUUCUGCUAGGCCUUCCAUGAAGGAGGUUCUGCAUAUCUUGCUCCGAUGCUCAACAAAAGUCACCCCACCAUUGAGAAGAUUUAGAGAUGCAAGCAACUUAAUUCCCUGAGAGUGCAAGCAACAAAAGUAAACUACUCACAGUUUACAUCCCCUAUUUUAUUACGCAAUCCAAUCCAGGAUAAAUGAGCUUAACAACCAAACGGUUCCAAUUAUGUAUAAUGUAUGUAUGAAAGAUAUUUAUUA